CCUACGGGUGGCUGCAGUGGGGAAUAUUGGACAAUGGGCGAAAGCCUGAUCCAGCCAUGCCGCGUGUGUGAAGAAGGCCUUCGGGUUGUAAAGCACUUUCAGUGGGGAAGAAAGCCUUGGGGCUAAUACCCUCGAGGAAGGACAUCACCCACAGAAGAAGCACCGGCUAACUCCGUGCCAGCAGCCGCGGUAAUACGGAGGGUGCGAGCGUUAAUCGGAAUUACUGGGCGUAAAGCGCGCGUAGGCGGUCUGAUAAGCCGGUUGUGAAAGCCCCGGGCUCAACCUGGGAACGGCAUCCGGAACUGUCAGGCUAGAGUGAAGGAGAGGAAGAUAGAAUUCCCGGUGUAGCGGGGAAAUGCGUAGAGAUCGGGAGGAAUACCAGUGGCGAAGGCGGCCUUCUGGACUGACACUGACGCUGAGGUGCGAAAGCGUGGGUAGCAAACAGGAUUAGAUACCCGAGUAGUC
rnacentral:rRNA from 1 species